UGAAUGCUUUAGAUUUAGAUUGUGGCGAACUGCUAAUGUGAGAACGGAAUGGCACAUCCACCCCAUCAUCACAACAGCGGGAAGACGAACAUGACAUGGAAUCCGCCUGCACCUCCAAAGGACGCAGAAAUCGUCAGAGAGGAAGUCUGCACUCUUUCCGACGUACUGCAGGUGAACGUUCUCCCGCAACCAUCGGCAACAACGACGCACAUAGCUCAGCAUUGGCUUUUGAACGGCCCUUGGAUGUCGAAGUACCUAAAGCUCCAGUGAAGCCUGUUACAAGACGUAAAAAGAUAUGUACUGUAGCUUUUUCGAGGCAGUUCCCGAGGACAAAUAAAGUUGAUUUGUCAUACACCA